GGGCGGCAUCACCGGGCGGGGCAUGGAGUCUGCUUAUGCUUUGGAUUCUGUCUGUCUCUCCCUCUGCCCCUUCCCCUCUCCUGCCCAAUCCAGAGAGUAUGCUCUCCCUCAAAAGGAAAAAAACUAUGUAGCUUUAUAACCAGAGUACUAGGAAGAGCCUAGAACAAAAUAACUAGCCCUGUUCAGCCUCUAUCACUGUGUCAGUCAGGUGGAUCCUCUGUAGCCCUAACCUUAAAAAGAACUUAUGAGAGAGAACUGUGGGCCAAAGGCGAAGAAAAUGGAGAUACGACGGACCUGAACUGAUGUGGUAGGAAAACAGAUUACAACAGAGCUCUUAUCUAGCUUGUGGCCAGGAACUAUCCAUCAUUAAGUAAGAAACACUGCAUCCACAGUACAUCGUCAAGAAAACAGACAACAUGACUAUGUGCUAAAAAAGAAAAUAUUCUGCCAUAAUAAAUUCAAUUAUAUUUUCACA